rnacentral:rRNA from 1 species
ACUCCUGCGGGAGGCAGCAGUGGGGAAUAUUGGACAAUGGGCGCAAGCCUGAUCCAGCCAUGCCGCGUGAGUGAUGAAGGCCCUAGGGUUGUAAAGCUCUUUCACCGGUGAAGAUAAUGACGGUAACCGGAGAAGAAGCCCCGGCUAACUUCGUGCCAGCAGCCGCGGUAAUACGAAGGGGGCUAGCGUUGUUCGGAUUUACUGGGCGUAAAGCGCACGUAGGCGGACUAUUAAGUCAGGGGUGAAAUCCCGGGGCUCAACCCCGGAACUGCCUUUGAUACUGGUAGUCUUGAGUUCGAGGGAGGUGAGUGGAAUUCCGAGUGUAGAGGUGAAAUUCGUAGAUAUUCGGAGGAACACCAGUGGCGAAGGCGGCUCACUGGCUCGAUACUGACGCUGAGGUGCGAAAGCGUGGGGAGCAAACAGGAUUAGAAACCCCGGUAGUCCC